GUCUUCGUGGUGUAACGGUUAGCACACUCAGAGCGUAUUCGAGAGGUCCAGGUUCGAGUCCUGCCAAGGGCA
rnacentral:tRNA from 1 species